rnacentral:rRNA from 1 species
UACCAGGCACCCCGGAGUGGUCGGGACGUUUAUUGGGCCUAAAGCAUCCGUAGCCGGUUCUACAAGUCAUUCCGUUAAAUCCAACUGACUUAACAGGUGGGCUGCGGAAGAUACUAUAGAGCUAGAGGCGGGAGAGGCAAGCGGUACUCGAUGGGUAGGGGUAAAUACCGUUGAUCCAUUGAAGACCACCAGUGGCGAAGGCG